rnacentral:rRNA from 1 species
CGGCGCACGGGUGAGUAACACGUAUGGAACCUGCCCGCCACAGGGGGAUAACCCGGGGAAACCCGGCCUAAUACCCCAUGCCGCCCGGACCGGGCAUCCGGACCGGGCGAAAGGAGGAAUCCGGUGGCGGCUGGGCAUGCGGCGCAUUAGCUUGACGGCGGGGUAACGGCCCACCGUGGCGACGAUGCGUAGGGGUUCUGAGAGGAAGGCCCCCCACACUGGAACUGAGACACGGUCCAGACUCCUACGGAAGGCAGCAG